ACGGGAGGCAGCAGCUAAGAAUAUUCCGCAAUGCACGAAAGUGUGACGGAGCGACGCCGCGUGAAUGAUGAAGGCAGAGAUGUUGUAAAGUUCUUUUGCAGGUGAAGAGUAACCGCCGUAGGGAAUGACGGCGGGAUGACGUUAGCCUGCGAAUAAGCCACGGCUAACUACGUGCCAGCAGCCGCGGUAACACGUAGGUGGCAAGCGUUGUUCGGAUUUAUUGGGCGUAAAGGGCGCGUAGGCGGUUUCUCAAGCUUGUUGUAAAAUACCCCGGCUUAACUGGGGGGAUGCGGUGAGAACUGAGAGACUAGAAUACAGGAAGGGGAGCUAGAAUUCCAGGUGUAGGGGUGAAAUCUGUAGAUGUCUGGAAGAAUACCAAUGGCGAAGGCAGGUUACCAGCAGAUGACUGACGCUGAGGUGCGAAGGUGCGGGGAGCAAACAGGAUUAGAUACCCUGGUA
rnacentral:rRNA from 1 species